CCUACGGGCGGCAGCAGUGGGGAAUAUUGCACAAUGGGCGCAAGCCUGAUGCAGCCAUGCCGCGUGUGUGAAGAAGGCCUUCGGGUUGUAAAGCACUUUCAGCGGGGAGGAAGGCGGUGAGGUUAAUAACCUCAUCGAUUGACGUUACCCGCAGAAGAAGCACCGGCUAACCUCCGUGCCAGCAGCCGCGGUAAUACGGAGGGUGCAAGCGUUAAUCGGAAUUACUGGGCGUAAAGCGCACGCAGGCGGUCUGUCAAGUCGGAAGUGAAAUCCCCGGGCUCAACCUGGGAACUGCAUUCGAAACUGGCAGGCUAGAGUCUUGUAGAGGGGGGUAGAAUUCCAGGUGUAGCGGUGAAAUGCGUAGAGAUCUGGAGGAAUACCGGUGGCGAAGGCGGCCCCCUGGACAAAGACUGACGCUCAGGUGCGAAAGCGUGGGGAGCAAACAGGAUUAGAUACCCCGGUAGUC
rnacentral:rRNA from 1 species